GAUGAACGCUGGCGGCGUGCCUAAUACAUGCAAGUCGAGCGAACAGACGAGGAGCUUGCUCCUCUGACGUUAGCGGCGGACGGGUGAGUAACACGUGGAUAACCUACCUAUAAGACUGGGAUAACUUCGGGAAACCGGAGCUAAUACCGGAUAAUAUAUUGAACCGCAUGGUUCAAUAGUGAAAGACGGUUUUGCUGUCACUUAUAGAUGGAUCCGCGCCGCAUUAGCUAGUUGGUAAGGUAACGGCUUACCAAGGCAACGAUGCGUAGCCGACCUGAGAGGGUGGUCGGCCACACUGGAACUGAGACACGGUCCAGACUCCUACGGGAGGCAGCAGUAGGGAAUCUUCCGCAAUGGGCGAAAGCUUGACGGAGCAACGCCGCGUGGGUGAUGAAGGUCUUCGGAUCGUAAAACUCUGUUAUUAGGGAAGAACAAAUGUGUAAGUAACUAUGCACGUCUUGACGGUACCUAAUCAGAAAGCCACGGCUAACUACGUG
rnacentral:rRNA from 1 species